rnacentral:lncRNA from 1 species
GAUCAUAGCUCGGGCCAACUUUGGGACGUGAGUUUGAGAAUAUCGUAGACUAUUGCGAUGUUGCCUAUUUUGCUUCUGAGCCAAGUGUAUCAGUCUUGUAGAAGCACAUUUGCUGGUGAGACUGCCUCGUAAGUGGUAGUUUAUAGAAAGAGAUGUGUGGUAGGAAAUGUUUUGUCAUAGUUAUCAGAUGGUGGUCGGAUUGAAAAAAUCAGGAAUUAGACUAUUAAUUGGUGUCAGUCACAGAAUGGAUUGAUUGUGUCAAAACAAGAAUGAACUGGUCGACCAGGUUUGAUUUUGGUGAA